rnacentral:rRNA from 1 species
GAUGAACGCUGGCGGCGUGCCUAAUACAUGCAAGUCGAGCGAAUGGAUUAAGAGCUUGCUCUUAUGAAGUUAGCGGCGGACGGGUGAGUAACACGUGGGUAACCUGCCCAUAAGACUGGGAUAACUCCGGGAAACCAGGGCUAAUACCGGAUAACAUUUUGAACCGCAUGGUUCGAAAUUGAAAGGCGGCUUCGGCUGUCACUUAGGGAUGGACCCGCGUCGCAUUAGCUAGUGGGUGAGGUAACGGCUCACCAAGGCAACGAUGCGUAGCCGACCUGAGAGGGUGAUCGGCCACACUGGGACUGAGACACGGCCCAGACUCCUACGGGAGGCAGCAGUAGGGAAUCUUCCGCAAUGGACGAAAGUCUGACGGAGCAACGCCGCGUGAGUGAUGAAGGCUUUCGGGUCGUAAAACUCUGUUGUUAGGGAAGAACAAGUGCUAGUUGAAUAAGCUGGCACCUUGACGGUACCUAACCAGAAAGCCACGGCUAACUAUGUGCCAGCAGCCGCCGUAA